rnacentral:ncRNA from 1 species
CUCUAAUAUUCAGUGAGAUUAUAUAUUUUAAGGAAUGUAUACAGUGCAGAUGUUAGAUAUUAAAGGAAACUUAUUCCUUCUUAAAAGGAAUUUUAAGUAAAGAUGAAUUAGAGAUAUCUAUAUUAGUAAACAAUUUUGCUGAAUAUAUAGAUGUUUC